GGGUUGUGAGGUUAAGCGACUAAGCGUACACGGUGGAUGCCCUGGCAGUCAGAGGCGAUGAAGGACGUGCUAAUCUGCGAUAAGCGCCGGUAAGGUGAUAUGAACCGUUAUAACCGGCGAUUUCCGAAUGGGGAAACCCAGUGUGACUCGUCACACUAUCAUUAACUGAAUCCAUAGGUUAAUGAGGCGAACCGGGGGAACUGAAACAUCUAAGUACCCCGAGGAAAAGAAAUCAACCGAGAUUCCCCCAGUAGCGGCGAGCGAACGGGGAGGAGCCCAGAGCCUGAAUCAGCAUGUGUGUUAGUGGAAGCGUCUGGAAAGGCGCGCGAUACAGGGUGACAGCCCCGUACACAAAAGCGCAUGUGCUGUGAGCUCGAUGAGUAGGGCGGGACACGUGGUAUCCUGUCUGAAUAUGGGGGGACCAUCCUCCAAGGCUAAAUACUCCUGACUGACCGAUAGUGAACCAGUACCGUGAGGGAAAGGCGAAAAGAACCCCGGCGAGGGGAGUGAAAAAGAACCUGAAACCGUGUACGUACAAGCAGUGGGAGCACAGGUUUACCUGUGUGACUGCGUACCUUUUGUAUAAUGGGUCAGCGACUUAUAUUCUGUAGCAAGGUUAACCGAAUAGGGGAGCCGGAGGGAAACCGAGUCUUAAUUGGGCGUUAAGUUGCAGGGUAUAGACCCGAAACCCGGUGAUCUAGCCAUGGGCAGGUUGAAGGUUGGGUAACACUAACUGGAGGACCGAACCGACUAAUGUUGAAAAAUUAGCGGAUGACCUGUGGCUGGGGGUGAAAGGCCAAUCAAACCGGGAGAUAGCUGGUUCUCCCCGAAAGCUAUUUAGGUAGCGCCUCGUGAAUUCAUCUCCGGGGGUAGAGCACUGUUUCGGCUAGGGGGCCAUCCCGGCUUACCAACCCGAUGCAAACUGCGAAUACCGGAGAAUGUUAUCACGGGAGACACACGGCGGGUGCUAACGUCCGUCGUGAAGAGGGAAACAACCCAGACCGCCAGCUAAGGUCCCAAAGUCAUGGUUAAGUGGGAAACGAUGUGGGAAGGCCCAGACAGCCAGGAUGUUGGCUUAGAAGCAGCCAUCAUUUAAAGAAAGCGUAAUAGCUCACUGGUCGAGUCGGCCUGCGCGGAAGAUGUAACGGGGCUAAACCAUGCACCGAAGCUGCGGCAGCGACGCUGAUGCGUUGUUGGGUAGGGGAGCGUUCUGUAAGCCUGCGAAGGUGGCCUGUGAGGGUUGCUGGAGGUAUCAGAAGUGCGAAUGCUGACAUAAGUAACGAUAAAGCGGGUGAAAAGCCCGCUCGCCGGAAGACCAAGGGUUCCUGUCCAACGUUAAUCGGGGCAGGGUGAGUCGACCCCUAAGGCGAGGCCGAAAGGCGUAGUCGAUGGGAAACGGGUUAAUAUUCCCGUACUUGGUGUUACUGCGAAGGGGGGACGGAGAAGGCUAUGUUGGCCGGGCGACGGUUGUCCCGGUUUAAGCGUGUAGGUGUGUGUUCCAGGUAAAUCCGGUUCACUUUAACACUGAGGCGUGAUGACGAGGCACUACGGUGCUGAAGCAACAAAUGCCCUGCUUCCAGGAAAAGCCUCUAAGCAUCAGGUAACAUCAAAUCGUACCCCAAACCGACACAGGUGGUCAGGUAGAGAAUACCAAGGCGCUUGAGAGAACUCGGGUGAAGGAACUAGGCAAAAUGGUGCCGUAACUUCGGGAGAAGGCACGCUGACACGUAGGUGAAGUGAUUUACUCAUGGAGCUGAAGUCAGUCGAAGAUACCAGCUGGCUGCAACUGUUUAUUAAAAACACAGCACUGUGCAAACACGAAAGUGGACGUAUACGGUGUGACGCCUGCCCGGUGCCGGAAGGUUAAUUGAUGGGGUCAGCGCAAGCGAAGCUCCUGAUCGAAGCCCCGGUAAACGGCGGCCGUAACUAUAACGGUCCUAAGGUAGCGAAAUUCCUUGUCGGGUAAGUUCCGACCUGCACGAAUGGCGUAAUGAUGGCCAGGCUGUCUCCACCCGAGACUCAGUGAAAUUGAACUCGCUGUGAAGAUGCAGUGUACCCGCGGCAAGACGGAAAGACCCCGUGAACCUUUACUAUAGCUUGACACUGAACAUUGAGCCUUGAUGUGUAGGAUAGGUGGGAGGCUUUGAAGUGUGG
rnacentral:rRNA from 2 species